rnacentral:rRNA from 1 species
UAUCUUUAGUAAUUGCGAAUGAACAAGGAUAUGCUUAGCUUGACAAAUGGAGCUAUUGGCUUUGAAUUGUAUUGUGGAAAUGUAUUACCAACAGAGGUGCAGGUGCCAGCCUAUUGAAAUAAAGCGUCAAUGAGGGUGAGAAUCCUGUUUGUCAUGUGCAGCCCUUUGUGCACGGUGUAUAUUUGCUGAGUCACACUCCUUGGCAUUGGAAUGCAAAGUGGGUGGUAAGUUUCAUGUAAAGGUAAACAUGCAAUUGAGACUGAUAGCACACAAGUACCAUGAGGGAAAUAUGAAAAGGACUUUGAAAAGAGAAUUAAAUGAGUUUGUAUUUGCUGAACACAAAGUAAACAGACUUGAUUUGCUUGGUGGGAGUGUUGCACUUGCUUGACAAGAGCUUUGGGCUGUGGGUGUAAUGAUUCUUUCUUUGCAUGCCAGUUUCUAUUUGUACAUCUGAUUACCUUUGCACAUGAAUGAUAAGUCUCCUGUGGGGGGUGGAUUGCAUGUGCAUGUAAUGAUUUGUGUUUUGAUAAAUGUGUCUGGUGUAUGUGUGUGUUCCUGUGCUUGGGGAUGCUUCCUUCCUUGGACUUACAAGCCCUGACACACACAUGCUGGCAAAAUGCUUCUGCUUGACCCGUCUUGAAACACGGACCAAGGAGUCUAACAGAUGUGCAAAGUUUGAAGGUGGUAUACCUUUGUGUGCAAUGAAAGUGUCAGCUGGGAUAUGUGCACCAGCACCCAAUUAAUUAGCGGACAGAGGUUUGAGUUGGAGCAUAUCUAUUAGGACCCGAAAGAUGGUGAACUAUGCCUGAACAGAAUGAAUUCAGAGGAAACUCUGAUGGAGGUUCGUAUCGAUACUGACGUGCAAAUCGUUCGUCAUAUUUGGGUAUAGGGGCGAAAGACUAAUCGAACCAUCUAGUAGCUGGUUCCCUCCGAAGUUUCCCUCAGGAUAGCUGGAGUUGCUCAGUUUUAUCAGGUAAAGCGAAUGAUUAGAGGAAUUGGGGACAGGUUUGUCUUUGACCUAUUCUCAA